CCUACGGGAGGCUGCAGUGGGGGAUAUUGCACAAUGGGGGGAACCCUGAUGCAGCGACGCCGCGUGGGUGAAGGAGUGCUUCGGCAUGUAAAGCCCUAUCGGCAGGGAAGAAGCAAGACGGUACCUGACUAAGAAGCCCCGGCUAACGACGUGACAGCAGCCGCGGUAAUACGUAGGGGGCGCGCGUUAUCCGGAUUCACUGGGUGUAAAGGGAGCGUAGACGUCAAAGCAAGCCAGGGGUGAAAGCCCGGGGCCCAACCCCGGGACUGCCCUUGGAACUGCAUGGCGGGAGUGCGGGAGGGGCAGGCGGAAUUCCUGGUGUAGCGGUGAAAUGCGUAGAUAUCAGGAGGAACACCGGCGGCGAAGGCGGCCUGCUGGACCGCGACUGACGUUGAGGCUCGAAAGCGUGGGGAGCGAACAGGAUUAGAUACCCGGGUAGUC
rnacentral:rRNA from 1 species